CUGCUGGGCAGGCAUUGUGCCUCCUUUCCCUGCCUGUGUUUUAAAGCCUCUACAUCUGCCAGCAGGAGGUGGUUGAUUUUAAUAGUACGAGUUGCAUGAGUAAAACUCCAGACAUACGGAGCCCUGUGUCACCAGGAGGAGUCCUCCCACCCCAGGCAGACCCUGCCAUGGUCACCAGCCUCCUCGGGAGCAGUGCAGAUCUCAUGGAAAUACGGAUUUGAUGGAUUUCAAGGAAAUACUUGCCACUGAGACAAGGUGGCUGCAUGCCCAACACCCCCAGAACACCAGAGCUGGCAAAGAUCAUGUUUCUUCCAUGCAUGACUGUGGGAAGCAUUGCUCACUGGAAAGUGCUCAGAAAAGGCAAUUUUAAUCCAGCAGAUACUGAUUUCUCACAAUGGCUAUUUUUACAACCGCAAUAAGAUUAAUGAAGAUUGGUGAUUAACCUAAAUUACUCUCACUAGAAGAAUCAAAGCAGCACUGCUAGAAGUCCCUGCUAGAAGGUGAUUUCCCCCAGCUGGGCUGGCUGGUGCCCCCCUCCAUGGUGUGGUGCAGGGGAGGCUGCCCAGCAGCUGGGAGAGGGCCAGGGCACCCCACGAGUGACCUUGAACAUCCCCUUUCAGCUGGGACAAGAGCAAUAGAUGACAUCCUCAGAGCUUUAACCGUGACUUCAUGUUUCCAUCCUUAGGUCAGGAAAUGAGCAACUCCUGCCUCCAUCAUGGCCUGGGUCAAAUACAAUUCCCAAUGAGGCACAGUCCGUGCAGCCUCCCAUGACAAAGGCACUGCACACAGAAUGAUCUCUGCUGGCUGGUGUGGUGGCACAACACCAGUCCAGGAAGCCUGUGCUUGAAUGAAGGCACCAUCCAAACACUGACAGCUUUUGCCAGCCUGGAGCCCCCAGGCUGCACGGAGCAGGGGAGGCAGGGAGCAGGGACCCGGGAGCAGGGAUCCUGCCCUGCCAGGCCAGGCUCUGCUGGGCAUGGCCACCCCGUGCUGGACACAGACAUCUCUGGGCGGUUGCAUUUGCUGUGCUGGAUUUAACCAGCAGUGUUUUGGGUACCAGAAUGUCUUUAUCACAUUAAGAAUUAACAGGAAAUGUUUCAUAAUAAUGGCAGCAUGCUGUGAGAGUGAUUUCAACUGUUUUUAAUAAUCCUAGAUCAAUUUUUUUCUCCCACUUUCUCCAGAUUUGAAAGCUCAAUUAAUUUUGAGCUAAAACUCUGUCAUCUCAAGCACAUGUGGCAGAGUGAGAAUUCAUGCGAGACAAUGGUUAAUUUUUUUUAUCUUCAGCUGCCUAAUGACAGGUGUGCUGUCCUAAAUAAUUAGCUUUCAAAACGGGAUCCCUUUAACCCUUCUCUGAAACUGGUUACUGAUCUCAGUUUUACUUCAUUAAGCUCUUGACAGCUCUAUGUACUCACAUCUGUUACUGUUUGGUAGUUUGAUUCCAAGAACACAAAUCGCUUCAAGAACUGGCAACAAAUUCAUUCCGCUCAGGAUGCAGAUCAAAAUCCAUCUGUUUGCUAAUCAAAAGCCAUAUUUUAGUCACAGCACACCAGUGGUUUUAGCACUAUUGUAACUUAGCCUUUCUGCCCUAAAGAUGAUGGGCAGUGCUCUGCUCUCAGGCUGCAUUUACACGGGCCACAGAGCACUCCUGAGGGGCUGGGAGGGCUGUUCCACCCCCUUGGGAAGAGAAAGCAGAUGAUCUGCUGAAUAUUUCAGAGUCUUUGGGAUGAGAGAUGGAUGUGAGCACAAUGCAAUAAAGUGACUUUUUGGUUCUUCAUCUGCUCAGAAAAAAAGAAAAGUGCAAGCUACCAAAACUGACAUCAGAAGACAGACAGAGGAACACGUGGAAAAACAGUGAGUGAGACCGUGAGGAGAUGAGUGACCUGCUGUUGCUGCCCUGGGGGGAGUCAACUCAGAUGAGGGGAUCUGUAGAUUUAUGUUCCAAAAUGCAAAUCCUAAGAAAGUACUUAUAUGUGACAAAUCAGCACGACUGUAUGUGUCAGCUUCUAGUUUUAAGGGACAUUUUGAUUUUAAAGAGCAGGGGAGAUGAUUGUAAAAUGAUGCCACAUCAUUUAACUGUGGUUUCUACAGCGCUGUCAAUGGAUGGCAAAUGUAGAGUGGUCAGAGGCUAUUACAGGACAAUCACCUCUUCAGAUGAGAAAAUCUGCGCACAUUAGGCAGCAUAAUUUCCCAUGGAAUUCGUUCUUUGAGGCGGGCUGCUGUCCUUGCAGCAGCUUAGCUAGUAAGGGAGUUAAAAGUGACCCCAGUUGUCCUCUAGGAAGACGACGUGGGGAAAGGCAAUGGGGAGGGAAUCAUUCCAGGCUAGAAGAAAGCUAGGUUAAGUAGAAGGUCAGAAGACACUGACAAAAUCUUUGUUGAUUUUUGGAUGCAAAAAAAAAUGAAAUAAGGAUUUGUAAUAAGAUUCUCCAGGUUUUUAUGUUUGUUUGUCAUUUCUGCUCUCUGGGCUGUUAGCUCAUGAAUGUGCUGAUCUUCUCCAUCGUUAUAUUUUCAAAUGAAAACAAGGAAGUAGAGGGUGCAGAGUUGUGAGAUAAUAUGAGUGUAUUCAACAGCUAUUAUGAAAGAUUUGGAAAGCAAGGACUAACAAUAGUGCCUAAGCAACCAGGCUGUGUAGCUCCUGCUGCCAAAAGCAGCAUCAGGCAUUUGGUUUGCAUCUGGAGUGUGUGCCGAGAGGCCCCGAGCCAGGCAGACACUGCUGGCUCAGCCAGGGGGCACAAGGUCUAGACUGGAUAUAGCAGGUUAGUGAGCAUCUGCUGGAGGGGAGCUAAUCCAGGAUUAUAACACACUCUUCCAAUCCCACAUGCUUUCAGAGCAAUGGAACACACUUGUGGCAGGUGUUUUCAUAAAGACAGUUUCUUUAUGCCCAUACUAACUGAAAAUGUUAAAUAGAAACACGUGUGUGUGGCAGGUGAUGAAAAGAGCAUUUGAAGUUCAGAAAGUGCAGUGGUAUUUCAAUUAAUCUGAAAAUACUUGCAUUUUUCAAAUGGUAAAUUUGCAUUUCCAUGCACAACAAAUACAUAAGCCUGACAAGCAGGCUUAACUGAAGAUUGACUUCAUUAAAAAUCAAAUUUGCAGAUUUCUUGCCCUUG